GGGUGCCCUUCCCCGGUGCCGCGCCCCGCGGUGCCGGUGAAAAUGGCAGGUCGUCGCGCUGGUCGGGCCGCCGCG
rnacentral:ncRNA from 2 species